rnacentral:hammerhead_ribozyme from 4 species
AAGCGAAACGCCCGUUUGGGCGUCUGCCUAGCGUGGUUGUUAGGCACUGAUGAGCAGCCAAGA